UCUGUUCAUGCGUUGUUUGCGGACCACAACCACAAUGUGACGAUGAGGGCGAUAAGAGGAUCACUCCAAUAAUGGCUCCGAUAAUGCUGCCUGUAGCAGACCCCUUCUCUUACCACUGGUGUCUCUGUGAAGGAGAGAGAGAGAGAGAGAGAGAGAGAGAGAGAGAGAGAGAGAGAGAGAGAGAGAGAGAGAGUGCAUGUAAAUAGCGAAAUCGUUGCACUCGACAGUAAAGUGUUAGUCACAGUAUAAAUUAUUCAGUAUCUACAUCAAGGAUAAUAGGGAAUGUGUGAAGAAUGAGGAAUGUGAGUCUAAACCUGUUGACACAUCCUGUGCGCUUAACAACUCGGGCUUCUUUCUUUGAAAUGAUUGAAAAUCUGAAAUAACUUUCAUUUUAACAACUUUAUUUUGUUCAGCCAAUGGCCAAAGUCUUCAAAUAAAACCAUAGUGUAGAAAAAGUCUCACUCCUCCACUUCGCCCAAGUAGAACUGAUUAGGUGUGUUGGUGUUUAUGAGGCUAUGGAUGUCCUGAUUAACUAAAUCUAGGGUGGCCAUACAGUACGUCCUCUUUUCCAGACCUUAAAAAAAGCUAUUUUUGAGAAAAAAGUCCAGGAUUCGGUUUUAGUUUCAUUAUGAUGUGCUUACGGUCUGAUACUGCAUCACGUGUGCGCAUAUUUACAUUGCUAUAACCCCUCUCUGUAAUUCCCGCCUUCUCGCACACCAGUUGGUUGAUUAUAAAAGGCUUGCAGCAACUACUGGCCAAAGUCCUGCCUCUCAACCGUUAGCCUCCUCUUAGCGAACGCGCAAAGUUAAAGCGCUGUUGUAUACAGCGUCAAACAGUUGUUUGACAAUAGCAGCAAAUGACAGCUGCGCUGAGCCGAAACAAUGCCCCUGGCCAUAUAAUGUCAUUUUUCAUUUCAUGUUAUCGCAAUGCUUCAUAUUCCUUAGACGUUCAAAUGUGUGAAUGACGGCAGAAGUUACACUCAUGGCAUCGAGUAUUUCGUUUUAUUCCAUGGACAUUCAAAAGAAUGGAGCAAAAAAAAAAAAAGAGGGAUGUGGGAAGAAAUCAGUUUUAUUUAUAUACAUAUUUACAUGAUGCUGAUAGAGUGUCUUUUUCAGUGUAGUAAAGUUUGCAUUCAUAGUAACACUGUUUUGAAUGCUAUUUUGCCUUGCACCUCCGGGGUUGGGGGUUUGAUUCCCGCCUCCGCCCUGUGUGCACGGAGCCUGAAUAUUCUCCCCGUGCUUCAGGGUCCAAAGACAUGUGUUGUAGGCUGAUUGGAACUUCCAGAUUGACUGUAGUGUGUGAAUGGGUGUAUGCGAUUGUGCCCUGCAAUGGGUUGGUACCCCAUCCAGGGUGGCCCCCGCCUUGUGCCCCACGUUCCCUGGGAUAGUCUCCAUGUGUGGGAUAAGCGGUUCAGAAAGUGGAUGGAUGGGUGGAUGAGAAGAUGGAUGGGUGGAUGGAUGGAUGAGUAGAUGGAUGGAUGGGUGGAUGAGUAGAUGGAUGGGUGGAUGGAUGGAUGAGUAGAUGGAUGGGUGGAUGGAUGAGUAGAUGGAUGGAUGGAUGGAUGGGUGGGUGGAUGGAUGGAUGGAUGGGUGGGUGGAUGGAUCAGUAGGUGGACUGGUGGAUGGAUGAGUAUAUGGAUGGAUGGAUGAUGGAUGGAUGAGUAGAUGGAUGGGUGGAUGGAUGGGUGGAUGGGUGGAUGGAUGGGUGGGUGGAUGGAUGGAUGGAUGCAUGGAUGAGUAGAUGGGUGGGUGGAUGUGUGGAUGAGUAGAUGGAUGGAUGAGUAGAUGGAUGGAUCAGUAGAUGGAUGGAUGGUUGAGCAGAUGGAUGAAUGGAUGAGUAGAUGAAUGGAUGGACGGACAGAUGUACAGAUGGAUGGACGGACGGAUUACACUAUUACAUCAUAAGUAAUUAUAAGCCAGCUUUUUUGUGUUUAUAGAGUUGUAACUUAGCUCAAGCAGUUGAAUAUUCAAGAGUGCUUGGAAAUGAUGUCAUGACAGUCCUGGGUAAUGCUAAAACCCCUAUAUGUUUUGGGGGCAGAGCUGUGUAUACAGGAUUGGAGGAGGAGAAAGGGGGUGAUCUCUCACGGAGUAAAAAUUUCAAUCUUAACUGACCUCCACCUAUUUAACCCGUAAAGACCUAAUCUUGCCACUUUUUGACACAUCUCACUUAAUGCACCUUUAAAGUGUUGCGAGAUGGACCGGUGUAAUCACUUUGUAAUCCACAAGGUGGCGAUAUUCUGCUAGGGCCAUUUAGCAGAACUACACUGACCUGCACGGUGAUCUGAAGCAUUGUGUUCCUGGAUAAAUGCUUCCUCUGAUUUCUCAGUCUAGUUGAAAACUGAAUGAUUGAUUGAUUUUUUUUUGCAAAUGAUUUCUCACGUCCAGGAUUUGAAGUGUGUUUGAUGCUGCAGCUGAGGUCAUGUAAAGGACAGAGCACGGAUGAUGUGGAAACUAUGCACCGAUAGCGUUCUCUCUCCCUGCCACCUUCCUUCCAGUGAUUUUACUGUGCGCGCUCGUCAUUGCAUCAGCUGUGUUGCCUCAGACGUGUGUCGCCUCACUGCUAUAAGAGACGAAGAGGCAGGGAGAGCGAGAGUUACGACAGAUACGUGGCCGACCAGAAAUACCUGCUUACAAAGACAAACCGUGUGACACGACGGCGAAGUGAUGGAAGAGAAAGGGAACAAAAGAGAGGCCCGGAAAUCCGCCGGAUUUUCUGGCAGAAAAGAAAAGAGCCUAAGCAUAAUAGCAUGAAGUGGAACAGCUGACUGAAUUUCACCCCUUUUUCCUUUCACAUAACUGCCCAUGAGCUCUCUCUCACACACUCGCUCGCACACAACCCACACGGCUGUCACGUCUCGGCGCUGUCAAUCAGACAUCGGUCUACCGCGUAUCGUGUCUCGGCCUGUCAAUCUCCCAGAACCCCCCUUAGCAUUCCUCUCUCUCUAUCCCUGUGUCUCUCUCCUGAUGAGGAGAACCCACGUUGCCACACACACACACACACUCAGUCAAAGCAAACUGUACAAUACAACACACACACACACACACACACACAUCUGAGAGGUGUGCAAGUCUGUGUGUGAGAAAGAAUGCAAGGCAUGUAUGAAAAGUGAAGGUCACUGGAGAUAAAAGCUGGAAUGGGGAAUAUGUGUAUGUGUGUGUGUGUGUGUGUGUGAAGAAAAUGGCAGAAUGAAAAAGUGCCAGAAUUCAAUACAUCCCUACCAAAAUCUUCAUCAUCAAAACAGCAUCUUCAUACAUCCAGACUGGAGUAUGAGCGUAUGAGCGUACUAUUUAUA
ensembl:lncRNA